UGCCAAAACCAUGUUUAUUUCUUUGGGUGGCUGCCAAAGCCAAUUUUAUUUUGGCUAGGCCACCACCGGCUUUGACAAGAUUAACCAACUUAACCCUUUUCAUUGUUUUCAAGUCCAAUGUUCGGACGAGAAGUCACCUUGAAUUCCACUUUCUUGAAUUCCGAUGUUCGGUAGCAUCAAAAGGUUUUCAAUCCAUGGCAAAUAUCUUCAAUUAAUAAGAAACCGUAAGCAACCUGAGAGAGAGAAUAGACUUCUUCCCACAGCUAGACCGGAGCUUUAAGAUUAGAUUCGGAUACUCGUCACUCUCCUUGACACCGUUAUCAUCAUCGUAUAUAAGUGAACGCAAGGGAGUAUAAGCACCUAAUUUAGGACAGGGAGAAACCAGGAUUUGCGGUUGUUCUUCAGCUGAACAAGUAACAUGCUUGAUAGCAAAAGAAACGCUGUCAAUUGGGUCAACCCAGAACUUGGAGACAUUGCGGAACCGCUAGAGCGAAUAACGGGGAGUCUCAGAAAGAUUUCGUAGACGAUCUCUCAAGGAAUGCACGGACUUUGACAUUUUGUGACUUCUAUUAUUCUUUGAUCUGUAAAAAUUAUUCGAGUAUCACAUAUAUUUGUGGGCAAUUCCGAAGGUAUUUGUAUCAGACCUAGCAGACAUAUAUGUGAUCUCAUAAUUCUAUUAUGGGAUGCGAAAUUUAUAUUAUUUUAAUUAUUUUCAGCAAGUAUUUUAAUUUUUGUCAAUUAUCUAAGUCUUUUCUAUUAUUAUCUACGUACGAGUUUUUUUAGUCUAGUGAAUUUAUUCAAUUAUAGAUAGUGUUUGAUAGUCUUUCAAUAAUAAAAAAACCCUCUUUUAUAGUUUCUUUCGAAAUUAUCUAUCAAAAUUUCCUUAAUUAUAUCAUAGAGAUUUUGAUAUAUAAUUUAAAGAGAGUUUUUCUCACAUUCUUGGUAUUUCUUCUGAUCAUAAUAAUCAAUGUAUUAAGUAGAUGAAAUAUAUCCCCUCUGUCCAAGAGUCAAAUAAAAAUCGGAAGGGCAAAUUUAAUAGGAAGAAUGAAUGCUGGGUUCAUAAGAUGAUAGUGAAUACAGCGUCUUGGAAGAUUCCGUAUUGGAAAAAUAAAUAAUCACAAGCGGUUUGCAGGAGGUUGAAGUGCAUAUGAUCCUGCUGAGAUCGUCCAACAAAUCUUCCUGAGACUGCCUGUCAAAACACUUUUGAUUUUCCAUCGUGCCUCCAAGAUCUGGCACAUUGCUUCAGCAGCUCAACAACCAAAUUUUGUAUUCUUCCAGUACUCUUGCUGAUUAAAGGUGGCAAUCAUCUGCAUUCCCUUAUAUAUGACGGUAAUUCAUCAAAGAAAGUGCGUAUUUGAAUACAAUAUUAAGUGUGUUAUAUUAGUGAAAAAGAACGCCAUGUUCCCUGACAAAGUACAAGGGUGAAAAUUUAUUUAUUUGGCUAAUUUGGGAUCAAGAACAAUACACUGUAAUUCUUGUAGGUAAAAACC
rnacentral:lncRNA from 1 species